GAUGAACGCUGGCGGCGUGCCUAAUACAUGCAAGUCGAGCGAACGGACGAUAAGCUUGCUUCUCUGAUGUUAGCGGCGGACGGGUGAGUAACACGUGGAUAACCUACCUAUCUGCCUGGGAUAACUUCGUGAAACCGGAGCUAAUACCGGAUAAUAUUUUGAACUGCAUGGUUCAAAAGUGAAAGACGGUCUUGCUGUCACUUAUAGAUGGAUCCGCGUUGCAUUAGCUAGUUGGUAAGGUAACGGCUUACCAAGGAAACGAUGCAUAGCCGACCUGAGAGGGUGAUCGGCCACACUGGAACUGAAACACGGCCCAGACUCCUACGGGAGGCAGCAGUAGGGAAUCUUCCGCAAUGGGCGAAAGCCUGACGGAGCAACGCCGCGUGAGUGAUGAAGGUCUUCGGAUCGUAAAACUCUGUUAUUAGGGAAGAACAGAUGUGUAAGUAACUGUGCACAUCGUGACGGUACCUAAUCAGAAAGCCACGGCUAACUACGUG
rnacentral:rRNA from 1 species